AUUGAACGCUGGCGGAAUGCUUUACACAUGCAAGUCGAACGGUAGAGGGGGCAACCCCUUGAGAGUGGCGAACGGGUGAGUAAUAUAUCGGAACGUGCCCAGUCGUGGGGAUAACGUAGCGAAAGUUACGCUAAUACCGCAUACGAUCUAAGGAUGAAAGCGGGGGAUCGCAAGACCUCGCGCGGAUUGGAGCGGCCGAUAUCAGAUUAGGUAGUUGGUGAGGUAAAGGCUCACCAAGCCAACGAUCUGUAGCUGGUCUGAGAGGACGACCAGCCACACUGGAACUGAGACACGGUCCAGACUCCUACGGGAGGCGAGCAGUGGGGAAUUUUGGACGAAUGGACGCAAGUCUGAUCAGCAUUCCGCGUGCAGGAUGAAGGCCCUCGGGUUGUAAACUGUCUUUUGUACGGAACGAAACGGUGAGCUCUAAUACAGUUUGCUAAUGACGGUACCGUAAGAACUAAGCAACCGGCUAACGUACGUAGCCA
rnacentral:rRNA from 1 species